rnacentral:rRNA from 1 species
UACGUACCGUACGAACGUUAUUCGGAAUUACUGGGCUUAAAGGGUUUGUAGGCGGCUUUGUAAGUCAGGUGUGAAAUCCCUCGGCUCAACCGAGGAAGCAGCUGCUUGAUACAUGCAGGCUUGAGGGAGACAGGGGUAAGCGGAACUGAUGGUGGAGCGGUGAAAUGCGUUGAUAUCAUCAGGAACACCGGUGGCGAAAGCGGCUUACUGGGUCUCUUCUGACGCUGAGGAACGAAAGCUAGGGUAGCGAACGGG